rnacentral:rRNA from 1 species
AGUCGUACGCUUCUUUUUCCACCGGAGCUUGCUCCACCGGAAAAAGAAGAGUGGCGAACGGGUGAGUAACACGUGGGUAACCUGCCCAUCAGAAGGGGAUAACACUUGGAAACAGGUGCUAAUACCGUAUAACAAUCGAAACCGCAUGGUUUUGAUUUGAAAGGCGCUUUCGGGUGUCGCUGAUGGAUGGACCCGCGGUGCAUUAGCUAGUUGGUGAGGUAACGGCUCACCAAGGCCACGAUGCAUAGCCGACCUGAGAGGGUGAUCGGCCACAUUGGGACUGAGACACGGCCCAAACUCCUACGGGAGGCAGCAGUAGGGAAUCUUCGGCAAUGGACGAAAGUCUGACCGAGCAACGCCGCGUGAGUGAAGAAGGUUUUCGGAUCGUAAAACUCUGUUGUUAGAGAAGAACAAGGAUGAGAGUAACUGUUCAUCCCUUGACGGUAUCUAACCAGAAAGCCACGGCUAACUACGUGCCAGCAGCCGCGGUAAUACGUAGGUGGCAAGCGUUGUCCGGAUUUAUUGGGCGUAAAGCGAGCGCAGGCGGUUUCUUAAGUCUGAUGUGAAAGCCCCCGGCUCAACCGGGGAGGGUCAUUGGAAACUGGGAGACUUGAGUGCAGAAGAGGAGAGUGGAAUUCCAUGUGUAGCGGUGAAAUGCGUAGAUAUAUGGAGGAACACCAGUGGCGAAGGCGGCUCUCUGGUCUGUAACUGACGCUGAGGCUCGAAAGCGUGGGGAGCAAACAGGAUUAGAUACCCUGGUAGUCCACGCCGUAAACGAUGAGUGCUAAGUGUUGGAGGGUUUCCGCCCUUCAGUGCUGCAGCUAACGCAUUAAGCACUCCGCCUGGGGAGUACGACCGCAAGGUUGAAACUCAAAGGAAUUGACGGGGGCCCGCACAAGCGGUGGAGCAUGUGGUUUAAUUCGAAGCAACGCGAAGAACCUUACCAGGUCUUGACAUCCUUUGACCACUCUAGAGAUAGAGCUUCCCCUUCGGGGGCAAAGUGACAGGUGGUGCAUGGUUGUCGUCAGCUCGUGUCGUGAGAUGUUGGGUUAAGUCCCGCAACGAGCGCAACCCUUAUUGUUAGUUGCCAUCAUUUAGUUGGGCACUCUAGCAAGACUGCCGGUGACAAACCGGAGGAAGGUGGGGAUGACGUCAAAUCAUCAUGCCCCUUAUGACCUGGGCUACACACGUGCUACAAUGGGAAGUACAACGAGUCGCGAAGUCGCGAGGCUAAGCUAAUCUCUUAAAGCUUCUCUCAGUUCGGAUUGUAGGCUGCAACUCGCCUACAUGAAGCCGGAAUCGCUAGUAAUCGCGGAUCAGCACGCCGCGGUGAAUACGUUCCCGGGCCUUGUACACACCGCCCGUCACACCACGAGAGUUUGUAACACCCGAAGUCGGUGAGGUAACCUUUGGAG